rnacentral:rRNA from 1 species
GGGAGGCAGCAGUGGGGAAUUUUGGACAAUGGGGGCGACCCUGAUCCAGCCAUGCCGCGUGAGUGAAGAAGGCCUUCGGGUUGUAAAGCUCUUUCGGCCGGGAAGAAAUCGUGUGGGCUAAUACCCUGCAUGGAUGACGGUACCGGAAUAAGAAGCACCGGCUAACUACGUGCCAGCAGCCGCGGUAAU